UUCCCUUUGUCAUCCUAUGCCUGGGAGUAUCAGUGAGGCAGGGGGGACAAAGGGGUGC
rnacentral:pre_miRNA from 1 species